GCAGUGAGGAAUAUUGGACAAUGGGUGAGAGCCUGAUCCAGCCAUCCCGCGUGAAGGACGACGGCCCUAUGGGUUGUAAACUUCUUUUGUAUAGGGAUAAACCUACCCUCGUGAGGGUAGCUGAAGGUACUAUACGAAUAAGCA
rnacentral:rRNA from 1 species